GCGGGUGUAGCACAGUGGUAGUGCGUUAGAUUGCCAAUCUAAAUAUGUGGGUCCGAUUCCCAUCACCCGCU
rnacentral:tRNA from 1 species